AUUCCUCCCGCCGCUCCCCCUUCCGCACCAGCUCAACUCAGCAGAGGAGGUUGAAUCCAAACGGGAAGUGGGAUUUCAUUAAAAAUAAUAAUACUAAAUUAUUACUAAACACUUGAGGAGAAGGACCGAACAGCAGACUCAUGCCAAGGGGCACUGCUGAGUUCCUGCCGCGCCGGGCCAGCGGAGUCCCUCCCGGGGCAGCCCCGGGGCCGGCGGCCGCCGUUCGCGGGAGCUCUCGUUCCGAAUCGAAGGGAAGGCAGAAGGCAGCAAACCACCCCCCGGCUGCUCAGGGGCGAGCUGGGGCGUUAUGGCCGGCUCAGCCCUGUGCAAGGGCUCGGUGCCGGCGGCCGGGGAGAACACACGUAGCUGCUCUGUUUCCCCGGCUAACUCGACAGCUGCUCAUAGCUCCAGUAAUUAGACUGUCAGUGCUUGUUAGAGGAGAGGAAAACGCUCCUAUGACAGAUUCCACGAGUCCUCUGUUUUUUUAAGAUCUCUCAGAAAUCACCAGAGCAUUAGCUGAGAUCUCUUGUUUCUCUGGAAUCAGAAGGGAAGAAGCUCCCUCUGCCAUCUCGCACUCCAAUCAGAGCGCUCUUCAGACUCUCAUGAAACACAUGAAUUCACUCUAAGAGGCUCAGAAGUUACCUGCCUUCCCUGUUUACCCCGGAGAGAAAGGAGCUCCCUGGCCGUGUGAACUUACUUUUAAAAUCCUCUCCUCGUAUUUCUGAAUUUAACUAAACAGAUAACUCAGUAGAAAUGCAGUCUUUUCUCUAUUAACUGAGCGGAGGAGUCGCUCCACGCACGAUCCUUCCCCAUCCGAGCUAACGUUAAUUCAGAGGAUGCUCAGGAGAGGCUCUUCCCUCUCACGAACAAAAGCACUGGAGGAUCAAGCCGAGAUGCUCCUACCCCCACCCAUGGUUCACUCAGCAGAUGAAACUCAGAGGAGGCGAUUUCUUUCCCUCCCUGCCAUACAUUCCCCUUUUCCCCGCAAUCAUACAAGGUUAACUCAACAGAGGAGUCUCAAUCCAAAUGGCAACUGGGAUUGAAAUUAAAAAAAAAAAAAAAAAAAAAAAAAAAGAAGAAGAAGGAAGGGGGAGAAAAAAAAAAAA
rnacentral:lncRNA from 1 species